ACCCGCUGAACUUAAGCAUAUCAAUAAGCGGAGGAAAAGAAACCAACAGGGAUUGCCCUAGUAACGGCGAGUGAAGCGGCAACAGCUCAAAUUUGAAAUCUGGCGUCUUUGGCGUCCGAGUUGUAAUUUGCAGAGGGCGCUUUGGCAUUGGCAGCGGUCCAAGUUCCUUGGAACAGGACGUCACAGAGGGUGAGAAUCCCGUACGUGGUCGCUAGCCUUUACCGUGUAAAGCCCCUUCGACGAGUCGAGUUGUUUGGGAAUGCAGCUCUAAAUGGGAGGUAAAUUUCUUCCAAAGCUAAAUACUGGCCAGAGACCGAUAGCGCACAAGUAGAGUGAUCGAAAGAUGAAAAGCACUUUGGAAAGAGAGUUAAAAAGCACGUGAAAUUGUUGAAAGGGAAGCGCUUGCAGCCAGACUUGCCUGUAGUUGCUCAUCCGGGUUUUUACCCGGUGCACUCUUCUAUAGGCAGGCCAGCAUCAGUUUGGGCGGUUGGAUAAAGGUCUCUGUCAUGUACCUCUCUUCGGGGAGAACUUAUAGGGGAGACGACAUGCAACCAGCCCGGACUGAGGUCCGCGCAUCUGCUAGGAUGCUGGCGUAAUGGCUGU
rnacentral:rRNA from 1 species